rnacentral:rRNA from 1 species
CGAGGACGAACGCUGGCGGCGUGCUUAACACAUGCAAGUGGAGCGACGAACCGGGCUUGCCCCGGGCAGAGCCGCGAACGGGUGAGUAACACGUGGGUAACCUGCCUCAAUGAUUGGGACAACCCGGGGAAACUCGGGCUAAUACCAAAUGUGUUCACUCCUUCCAAGGGGAGUGAGGAAAGGAAGCUUCGGCCUCCGCAUUGAGAUGGGCCCGCGGCCCAUUAGCUUGUUGGUGAGGUAACGGCUCACCAAGGCUUCGAUGGGUAGCUGGUCUGAGAGGACGAUCAGCCACACUGGGACUGAGACACGGCCCAGACUCCUACGGGAGGCAGCAGUGGGGAAUCUUGCACAAUGCGCGAAAGCGUGAUGCAGCAACGCCGCGUGGGGGAAGACGGCCUUCGGGUUGUAAACCCCUUUCAGUUGGGACGAAGCUUCGUCGGUGAAUAGCCGGUUGGAGUGACGGUACCUUCAGAAGAAGCCCCGGCUAACUACGUG